rnacentral:lncRNA from 1 species
GGCCAGAAGGAGAAGCGAAAGAAAAAUCGGACUCUUGCUGAACCCAGUAGGCCCCACCGAUAGAUGGGUCUCGCCCCGACGACGGAGUCCGAGACCGACGCAUCGCAGGUAUGACUCCUGCACUCCUCUCUUCGCUCCUCGUGCGCAGAUCCUGAUGGAGAUCGAAGGAAUGAAAUAUCUACGACUGCCUCGGCCUCUGAAGGCAAAAGACCUCGACCAAUGUGGCCCGAUCGCUGAAUCUACGGCUCGAUCGUCAGUCGCCGAAUCUAUGACUCGAUCGUCGAUCGUCGAAUCUAUGGCUCGAUCGUCGAUCACCGAACCGACGGCC